rnacentral:lncRNA from 1 species
UAUCCCAAAGUUUUCUGUAUAAUUUUUGGAUUUCUUCAUCACAUCCCAAAGUUUUCUAUCCCAUUUUAGGAUUUCUCCAUCCGAUCCCAAUUUUUACCACCUCAUCCCAAUGUUUCCCUCCUUAUCCCGAAAUUUUCUCUAUAAUUUUAGGAUUUUUCCCACCUCAUCCCAACAUUUUUUAUCCCAUUUUGGGAUUUCUCUCCUUUAUCCCAAUUUUUUCCCCUUAUUCCAAAGUUUUCUGUAUAAUUUUGGGAUUUCUCCCCCUCAUCCCGAUGUUUUUCCAGCCAACUUCGCCGGAAUGUUGGCGGAUUCUGGAAGAUCCGACGUGGUUUGGACGUCCAACCCCUAUGGACACAAAGAUCUGGAUUUCUUCUCCUUGUGAGCCGAAAUCGCCGAAAUCGCCGGCGCCGAAAUCCGUUCGUUCUCCGCCUCGUUCCGGUGGUUUUUCCGUUUAUUUUGAUGGUUUUGUGCCGUGUUUUUGUAUUUUUCCCCUUUAUCCCGAUGGUGUUUGUCUCAUUUUGGGAUUUUUCCCCCUCAUCCCAAUGUUUUAUGUCUCAUUUUGGGAUUUUUCCCCCUUAUCCCAAUUUUUCCCCUUUAUCCCAAUUUUUCUCCCUUAUCCCAAUUUUUCCCCUUAUCCCAAUUUUUCCCCUUUAUCACAAUUUUUUCCCCUUAUCCCAAUUUUUCCCCUUAUCCCAAUUUUUCCCCUUUAUCCCAAUAUUUUCCCACCUCAUCCCGAUAUUUUUUGUCUCAUUUUGGGAUUUUUUCCCCCCUCAUCCCAAUAUUUUCCCACCUCAUCCUGAAGUUUUUUAUCUCAUUUUGGGAUUUCUCCCCCUCAUCCCGAUGUUUUUCCAGCCGAAUUCACCGGAAUGUUGGCGGAUUCUGGAAGAUCCGACCUGGUUUGGACGUCCAACCCCUACGGACACGGAGAUCUGGAUUUCUUCUCCUUGUGAGCCGAAAUUGCCGAAAUUUGGGCAUUCCUCACCUCGUUACGGUGUUUUUUCAGUUUAUUUUGAUGGUUUUGUGUCGUGUUUUUGUAUUUUUCCCCUUUAUGCCGAUGGUUUUUGGCUCAUUUUGGGAUUUCUCUCCCUUAUCCCAAUUUUUUCCCCUUUAUCCCAAAGUUUUCUGUAUAAUUUUAGGAUUUUUCCCCCUCAUCCCAAAGUUUUCUAUCCCAUUUUGGGAUUUCUCCCCCUCAUCCCAAUUUUUUCCCCUUUAUCCCAAUGUUUUCUGUAUAAUUUUAGGAUUUUCCCCCUCAUCCCAAUGUUUUUUGUCUCAUUUUGGGAUUUUUCCCACCUCAUCCCAAAGUUUUUUUGUCUCAUUUUGGG